CGACGUACCGCAUUUGCACAAAAACAAGCAUAGCAACACUUAAUUUUAUCGUUUUUUCUUUUUCUUUUCUUAAAAAAAAAAACAAAACAAAAAAGC
rnacentral:ribozyme from 1 species